rnacentral:rRNA from 1 species
CCUACGGGAGGCAGCAGUGGGGAAUAUUGGGCAAUGGAGGAAACUCUGACCCAGCGACGCCGCGUGCGGGAUGAAGGCCUUCGGGUUGUAAACCGCUUUCAGUAGGGAAGAAGCGAAAGUGACGGUACCUACAGAAGAAGCACCGGCUAACUAUGUGCCAGCAGCCGCGGUAAUACAUAGGGUGCAAGCGUUGUCCGGAAUUAUUGGGCGUAAAGAGCUCGUAGGUGGUUCGUCACGUCGGAUGUGAAAAUCUGGGGCUCAACCCCAGACCUGCAUUCGAUACGGGCGAUCUAGAGUGUGGUAGGGGAGACUGGAAUUCCUGGUGUAGCGGUGGAAUGCGCAGAUAUCAGGAGGAACACCAAUGGCGAAGGCAGGUCUCUGGGCCAUUACUGACACUGAGGAGCGAAAGCGUGGGGAGCGAACAGGAUUAGAUACCCUGGUAGUCCACGCCGUAAACGGUGGGCACUAGUUGUGGGAACCUUCCACGGUUUCUGCGACGCAGCUACGCAUAAGUAGCCCGCCGUCGGGAGGUACGAGCGCGAAGAAGUUAAACGUAACGUAAAGGUAAGUUAGUUAGGCGUGAGAGUGCGACGGACGACGACGAGGGAGGAGG